GACAAUGGGGGCAACCCUGAUCCAGCCAUGCCGCGUGAGUGAAGAAGGCCUUCGGGUUGUAAAGCUCUUUCAGAUGCGAAGAUGAUGACGGUAACAUCAGAAGAAGCCCCGGCUAAUUUCGUGCCAGCAGCCGCGGUAAUACGAAAGGGGCUAGCGUUGUUCGGAUUUACUGGGCGUAAAGGGCACGCAGGCGGUCUUGCCAGUCAGGGGUGAAAGCCCGGGGCUCAACCCCGGAACUGCCUCUGAUACUGCAAGACUAGAGACUAGGAGAGGGUGGUGGAAUUCCCAGUGUAGAGGUGAAAUUCGUAGAUAUUGGGAGGAACACCAGAGGCGAAGGCGGCCACCUGGACUAGAUCUGACGCUCAGGUGCGAAAGCGUGGGGAGCAAACAGGAUUAGAUACCCUGGUAGUCCACGCCGUAAACGAUGAGUGCUAGUUGUCGGGACUUCGGUUUCGGUGACGCAGCUAACGCAUUAAGCACUCCGCCUGGGGAGUACGGUCGCAAGAUUAAAACUCAAAGG
rnacentral:rRNA from 1 species